AACGAACGCUGGCGGCAUGCCUAACACAUGCAAGUCGAACGAGACCUUCGGGUCUAGUGGCGCACGGGUGCGUAACGCCUGGGAACCUGCAUUUAGUUUCGGCAUAACUCAGAGAAAUUUGAGCUAAUACCGGAUGAUCUCUUCGGUCCAAAGAUUUAUCGCCUUUAGAUGGGCCCGCGUUGGAUUAGCUAGUUGGUGGGGUAAAGGCCUACCAAGGCGACGUUACAUAGCUGGUCUGAGAGGAUGAUCAGCCACACUGGGACUGAUGCACGGCCCAGACUCCUACGGGAGGAAGCAGUGGGGAAUAUUAGACAAUGGGCGAAAGCCUGAUCCAGCAAGGCCGCGUGAAUGAUGAAGGCCUUAGGGUUGUAGAGCUCUUUUACCCGAGAUGAUAAUGACAGUAUCGGGAGAAUAAGCUCCGGCUAACUCCGUG
rnacentral:rRNA from 1 species